UUCAAGGUGCCCUAACAAAUGUAUAGCGGUUGUAAUCUGUGUGCAAUACUUCUGCAGUCUGGGAUCCCUGGAUGAAAGGUGCUUGGGUUUUGGAAAUGAUCUGAGAGAAUCACAGUGAAUCCUGGGUCAUACCUUGUUCCCCACACAGAGAGAGGAAUAACUGGAUCCUUGGAACCUAAGACCCCUGGAACUAGCAUUCAUGGACCACAGAGAGCUUCAUCUGAACGGCCUGGGAAGGAAUCAUCAAACUUUUGAAGGCUGUUACUAAUGGAAGGAGCAGCCGUCCACAAGGGCUGGGUUCCAGACAGUGCCUUUUUUUUCCUUGAGGACCCACAGGAUAAGCACUAACUCUCCCUAAACCCUGUGAAGUCAGUGGACGUUUUGCUGUUGACCUCAGCAGGCCCAAGGUUCUACCCAAGGUGUACCCAAGUCUGAAAUCAGUUAGAGGUAUACAUCCAGGCUGCUGCAUUAUGCUACCUGGGAACGCGCAGGCGUGUGGGCGGAGUCAACUAAACACAAG